GGAUGCUACUUUGAAAGGCAAAUAGUGCAUUAACCCUAUGAUAAAUUACAAAAAAAGAACAUAUAUUCUUAAAUCUACUAGAAAUGUAACUUCUGAUUGCAAAUGGGAAAACUAUAUAUUCAUUAAAAACAAACUAAUACAGCAUAGGACUCCAUACAAUGCAAUAUUGCUAGGUAUAUGAUACCAAGGGAAUGACCCUACCAUUGCAGGCAAAUAGGCUCAUAGUAAAAUUCAGCACAAAAAAUAGGUUUCUUCACCAGGCCAAGCUCCUUGUGUGGUC
rnacentral:lncRNA from 1 species